GUGCACCAGGCGAGAAAACUUCACAAUGUGCGAAAGCACGAUGAGGGAAUCCCAAGUGCUUGCACGUAAGUGUAAGCUGUUUCUCUGUCUAAAACGCAGAGAGAGUAAGGGCUGGGUAAGACGGGUGCCAGCCGCCGCGGUAAUACCUGCAGCUCGAGUGGUGACCGUUAUUAUUGGGCCUAAAACGUCCGUAGCCGGUUUAAUAAAUGCCUGGGUAAAUCGGACCGCUUAACGGUUCGAAUUCCGGGUAGACUGUUAAACUUGAGACCGGGAGAAGUUAGAGGUACUCCUGGGGUAGAGGUGAAAUUCUGUAAUCCUAGGGGGACCACCAGUGGCGAAGGCGUCUAACUAGAACGGGUCUGGACGGUGAGGGACGAAGCCCUGGGGCGCAAACGGGAUUAGAUACCCCGGUAGU
rnacentral:rRNA from 1 species